rnacentral:rRNA from 1 species
UACGUAGGGUGCGAGCGUUGUCCGGAAUUAUUGGGCGUAAAGAGCUCGUAGGCGGUGUGUCGCGUCGGCCGUGAAAACCUGCAGCUUAACUGUGGGCUUGCGGUCGAUACGGGCAUCACUGGAGUUCGGCAGGGGAGACUGGAAUUCCUGGUGUAGCGGUGAAAUGCGUAGAUAUCUGGAGGAACACCGGUGGCGAAGGCGGCAUCCUGGACCAACAUUGACGCUGAGGAGCGAAAGCUAGGGGAGCAAACGGG